ACGCGAAUCUAUGAGUCCAAGUUCUGGAAAGAGGAGUGCUUUGGACUUACGGCUGAACUUGCAGUCGAUAAAGCCAUGGAGUUAAGGUUUGUGGGUGGCCUCUAUGGUGGCAACAUAAAACCAACACCCUUUCUGUGUUAAACCUUGAAGAUGCUUCAAAUUCAACCCGAGAAGGAUAUCAUUGUAGAGUUUAUCAAAAAUGAAGAUUUCAAGUAUGUCCGCAUGUUGGGGGCAUUUUACGUGAGGCUAACAGGCAUUGCAAUUGAUUGCUACAAGUACUUGGAGUCUUCCUACAAUGACUAUUGAAAAAUCAAGAGCCAGAACCGAAAUGAGGAGUUUGAAUUGAUGCAUGUUGAUGAGUUUGUUGAUGAACUAUUGCACAGUAAGAGAGUAUGAUAUCAUUCUGCCCCGGCUACAGAAACGCUAUGUAUUAGAGGAAGCUGAGCAACUGGAGCCUUGAGUUAGUGCUCUGGAAGAGGACAUGGAUGAUGUGGAGUCCAGUGAAGAGGAAGAAGAGGAGGAUGAGAAGUUGGAGAGUGCCAUCAACUGAUCACCGCCGGAGAAGCUACGGAGACUUGGACAAGUCCCGUUGCUCUCCCACACUGCGCUACAGAAGGAGUAGGAGUCGGUCUCCCAGAAGGUGGAAUCGAUCUCCCAAAAGGAGAAGUCCCUCCCUGCAUCGAGAAAGGCAUGGGAGCAAGAGUCCAAGACUUCACCGCAGCAGGUCCCGAGAUUGGCAGCACAGAUCCCAUUCCAAGUCCCCAGGUCAUCACUGUAGUCACAGACACAAGAACCACUCAAAGUCUCCCGAAAGGUCUUAGAAGAGCCACGAGAAGAGCCGGUGAGGGAAU
rnacentral:lncRNA from 1 species